rnacentral:rRNA from 1 species
GACGAACGCUGGCGGCGUGCUUAACACAUGCAAGUCGAACGGAAAGGCCCUGCUUUUGCGGGGUGCUCGAGUGGCGAACGGGUUAGUAACACGUGAGUAACCUGCCCUUGACUUUGGGAUAACUUCAGGAAACUGGGGCUAAUACCGGAUAGGAGCUCCUGCUGCAUGGUGGGGGUUGGAAAGUUUCGGCGGUUGGGGAUGGACUCGCGGCUUAUCCGCUUGUUGGUGAGGUAGUGGCUUACCAAGGCUUUGACGGGUAGCCGGCCUGGGAGGGUGACCGGCCACAUUGGGACUGAGAGACGGCCCAGACGCCUACGGGAGGCAGCAGUGGGGAAUAUUGCAGAAUAGGCGGAAGCCAGAUGCAGCAACGCCGCGUGCGGGAUGACGGCCUUCGGGUUGUAAACCGCUUUCGCCUGUGACGAAGCGUGAGUGACGGUAAUGGGUAAAGAAGCACCGGCUAACUACGUG